CAUAAAUCAUUGAACAAGAGUAGUACGUACUAUCAAAAUCGUUACAGAAAGCCGGAGCUGAUGAGAAUCCGGCACGAGGGAUAGUACUGAAUGGACUUGUGAGAGGCUGCUUGAACAGUAAGUAGGACAGCCCGGGAUUCCGCCGUUAAAAGGAUAGGGUAUCGGAAUGAGAUGUAUUCCUGUACCUGAAAAAGUGGAAGUUCUAUUUGAACUUCAAUGCGAGGUGGCACCGCGAUUCCGAUCGUCCUCCAU
rnacentral:ncRNA from 1 species